UGGAAAUGAGACAUUUCUAACUAAGGAAAUGCUCUUCAAAACUUAGAAUUUUUACCAGCGACCCUCCAGCAAAAUGCUCUAUUAUCAGCUUCCUACAGACCUCUUGAGAGCCACCCUCAGGCAUUAUUCCGGAAGCAAUCCUCCCCGGCUCACUUCCCUGGCUGGGCCGCCCUUCAUGAGGGAUUGAUUUUUUUUUUAAUUUGAGAAAUGAGUACCUCAUCACGUACAAACGUCACAUCACUUCCUGCCUCAUUGUCACCUUGGAAUAUUCUCUCCACCGCUUCUCCGGAACAGUGUGUCAUAGACACCCUCCAGAGGAGCUUGGACUGCCACCAACAGUGUGUGGCAAACAUCCACACAUCUCAUCAGUAUCUUCAUUUCCCAUCUUGGAGUCAUGGUUGAGGUGCCUACAGUGAGAGAAAAGCACACAGAUCCAUCUGAUAUCCAUCUUCUGGGACAGGAAGAAUUCCUAAGGAAUGAAGACCCUAUUAAAGACAAUAAAGCAGA
rnacentral:lncRNA from 1 species